UGCUCAACAACUCCUAUCCCUACCACCUCGUGGUACUGGCCGAGGUACGAGUAACCUUGGGGAAGAUCGUGUAACCAACCCCGGUGGGAACUUUGGUCGUAUGCUGACAGGGAAGG
rnacentral:ribozyme from 1 species